CACUGUGUCCAGCUCUUUUUCUCUAUAGGAACUCCAGCCCAGCAGGAGGUAGAGAGGCAAUAGCUUGUCCAUAGGCUGCCCCAUCAGCAUUGCAUCAUAAUCUCACUCACUCCAGAUUCACUGGAAGCUCUGAUUUGUCUGCCACACCAGUGUUUCAGAAGGGCUGGUUCGUGACAUUUCUCUGAUCCUCCUGCUUUCUCUUUUGGAUUCUCAUUGUCUCACAAAUCUUACAACUGGAUCUGCCUGGGAACAAAGAAAGAGCCCCGUUGCAUUAAGGGCUGCUGGCCAGAUCCCGCAAUAACUGGGAACUAUGCAGACCACAUCUAGGACAAUCAGUUCCUUAACGGUGGAUACCAUAUCUUUGAAUUCAUUUCUAUCUGGGUGUCAAUAUCAUCAAAGGAGCUACAUGUCAUCUUGCAUGAGUUUUGGGAAGGAAGGCCAGCCAAUGUCAGAAGUUGUUUGAAUGAAAAGCUGAGACUUUUCAAAGUUGCCUGUAAUCAUACGCUGACUCAAUGAAUAAAGACAUCUAAACCAGAUUGAAUGAUGCAUUAUCAAUGCUGAAAGACAACCUACAAUAAAAUGUCUUUAUUAGGACC